AUCACCUGUAAAGGAUUUUAAAGCAUUAACUUCCAAACAUCGACUCAACACUUACACUACUCAAGACUUGAGGGUUCCAGAUUAAAUGAGCAAACACAUGAAAUCCAGCCAGGGCUGUCGAGGCGCACGCUGUCGCAGCAGGAUGAAAGACAUGUCUGGUAUAUGGCUGGUCUAGAACUGAGACCCUCUCACCUUGGUCUCCUGCGUGCUCUGCAUACAGGAUUCACCACCAACCAUGCCCAGCACAUAUUCCUCUUCUGCUAGGCGACACUAUCAUCUCCAUUUCCUUUCAUAGAGAUUAAACAGUAGCAUCCAACUUUCUCAGAGCCGAGAAGCUCGUCCACAGUGAGGAAGAGGAGGAGGCUGACACUCAGAACUUAUCAGGAACGAGCUUCCGGUUAGGCCCUAACUGCGGAGUCUGGGCAGCUAGGAGUCUGCAUAGCAGACAGUAAUCCUGGGUUUUUUUCGGCUUCCUCCCUGCCUCAAAACCAGAAGAGAAGUCGCUGCAGAGCACUGUGAGGGGUGAGGUUAUUUCAAGCAAGUUCUUCCUGGGUUACCCCACAAGUGUGUUGUGUCCCCUAUGUCACAAAGUAACAUCUACUUUGCAUCACGUCUCAACUAUGAAUGACACUGGAAUAAACGGAAGACUCAAAUAA